rnacentral:rRNA from 1 species
GGGUUGUGAGGUUAAGCGACUAAGCGUACACGGUGGAUGCCUAGGCAAUCAGAGGCGAUGAAGGACGUGCUAAUCUGCGAUAAGCGUCGGUAAGGUGAUAUGAACCGUUACAACCGACGAUUUCCGAAUGGGGAAACCCAGUGCAAUUCGUUGCACUAUCGUUUGAUGAAUACAUAGUCAAACGAAGCGAACCGGGGGAACUGAAACAUCUCAGUACCCCGAGGAAAAGAAAUCAACCGAGAUUCCCCUAGUAGCGGCGAGCGAACGGGGAGCAGCCCAGAGUCUUAAUCAGCAUUAGCAUCAGGAGAACGGUCUGGAAAGUCCGGCAGUAAAGGGUGAUAGCCCCGUAUCCGAAGGUGUUAGUGUUGUGAACUCGACGAGUAGGGCGGGACACGUGUUAUCCUGUCUGAAUAUGGGGGGACCAUCCUCCAAGGCUAAAUACUCCUGAUUGACCGAUAGUGAACCAGUACCGUGAGGGAAAGGCGAAAAGAACCCCGGCGAGGGGAGUGAAAUAGAACCUGAAACCGUGUACGUACAAGCAGUGGGAGCCUUGAUUUAUCAGGGUGACUGCGUACCUUUUGUAUAAUGGGUCAGCGACUUAUAUUCUGUAGCAAGGUUAACCGUAUAGGGGAGCCGUAGGGAAACCGAGUCUUAACUGGGCGAAUAAGUUGCAGGGUAUAGACCCGAAACCCGGUGAUCUAGCCAUGGGCAGGUUGAAGGUUGGGUAACACUAACUGGAGGACCGAACCGACUAAUGUUGAAAAAUUAGCGGAUGACUUGUGGCUGGGGGUGAAAGGCCAAUCAAACCGGGAGAUAGCUGGUUCUCCCCGAAAGCUAUUUAGGUAGCGCCUCGUGAACUCAUCUUCGGGGGUAGAGCACUGUUUCGACUAGGGGGUCAUCCCGACUUACCAACUCGAUGCAAACUACGAAUACCGAAGAAUGUUAUCACGGGAGACACACGGCGGGUGCUAACGUUCGUCGUGAAGAGGGAAACAACCCAGACCGCCAGCUAAGGUCCCAAAGUCAUAGUUAAGUGGGAAACGAAGUGGGAAGGCUCAGACAGCCAGGAUGUUGGCUUAGAAGCAGCCAUCAUUUAAAGAAAGCGUAAUAGCUCACUGGUCGAGUCGGCCUGCGCGGAAGAUGUAACGGGGCUAAACUAUGCACCGAAGCUGCGGCAGCGAUAUGUAAAUAUUGUUGGGUAGGGGAGCGUUCUGUAAGCCUGUGAAGGUGUGCUGUGAGGCAUGCUGGAGGUAUCAGAAGUGCGAAUGCUGACAUAAGUAACGAUAAUGCGGGUGAAAAACCCGCACGCCGGAAGACCAAGGGUUCCUGUCCAACGUUAAUCGGGGCAGGGUGAGUCGACCCCUAAGGCGAGGCAGAAAUGCGUAGUCGAUGGGAAACGGGUUAAUAUUCCCGUACUGGUGAUAAUUGCGAUGGGGGGACGGAGAAGGCUAGGCUAUCCGGGCGACGGUUGUCCCGGUUUAAGGAUGUAGGCAGGUGAAUUAGGCAAAUCCGGUUCACUACAUGCUGAGGUCCGACGACGAGUCACUACGGUGAUGAAGUAGCUCAUGCCCCGCUUCCAGGAAAAGCCUCUAAGCUCUAGAUUAUCAUUAAUCGUACCCCAAACCGACACAGGUGGUCAGGUAGAGAAUACUCAGGCGCUUGAGAGAACUCGGGUGAAGGAACUAGGCAAAAUGGUGCCGUAACUUCGGGAGAAGGCACGCUGGCAUUAGGUGAAGUGAUUUACUCAUGGAGCUGAAGCCAGUCGCAGAUACCAGCUGGCUGCAACUGUUUAUUAAAAACACAGCACUGUGCAAACACGAAAGUGGACGUAUACGGUGUGACGCCUGCCCGGUGCUGGAAGGUUAAUUGAUGGGGUUAUCCGUAAGGAGAAGCUCUUGAUCGAAGCCCCAGUAAACGGCGGCCGUAACUAUAACGGUCCUAAGGUAGCGAAAUUCCUUGUCGGGUAAGUUCCGACCUGCACGAAUGGCGUAAUGAUGGCCAGGCUGUCUCCACCCGAGACUCAGUGAAAUUGAACUCGCUGUGAAGAUGCAGUGUACCCGCGGCAAGACGGAAAGACCCCGUGAACCUUUACUAUAGCUUGACACUGAACAUUGAGCCUUGAUGUGUAGGAUAGGUGGGAGGCUUUGAAGCGUGGACGCCAGUCUGCGUGGAGCCAACCUUGAAAUACCACCCUUUAAUGUUUGAUGUUCUAACGUUGCCCCAUUAUCUGGGGUGCGGACAGUGUCUGGUGGGUAGUUUGACUGGGGCGGUCUCCUCCCAAAGAGUAACGGAGGAGCACGAAGGUUGGCUAAGCAUGGUCGGACAUCAUGCGGUUAGUGCAAAGGCAUAAGCCAGCUUGACUGCGAGAGUGACGGCUCGAGCAGGUACGAAAGUAGGUCUUAGUGAUCCGGUGGUUCUGAAUGGAAGGGCCAUCGCUCAACGGAUAAAAGGUACUCCGGGGAUAACAGGCUGAUACCGCCCAAGAGUUCAUAUCGACGGCGGUGUUUGGCACCUCGAUGUCGGCUCAUCACAUCCUGGGGCUGAAGUAGGUCCCAAGGGUACGGCUGUUCGCCGUUUAAAGUGGUACGCGAGCUGGGUUUAGAACGUCGUGAGACAGUUCGGUCCCUAUCUGCCGUGGGCGUUGGAAGAUUGAAAGGGGCUGCUCCUAGUACGAGAGGACCGGAGUGGACGCACCACUGGUGUUCGGGUUGUCAUGCCAAUGGCAUUGCCCGGUAGCUAAGUGCGGAAGAGAUAACCGCUGAAAGCAUCUAAGCGGGAAACUUGCCUUGAGAUGAGUCUUCCCUGACUCUUUAAGAGUCCUAAAGGAACGUUUAAGACUAAGACGUUGAUAGGUUGGGUGUGUAAGCGUAGCGAUACGUUGAGCUAACCAAUACUAAUGAACCGUGAGGCUUAACCUGACAACACCGAAGGUGUUUUAG